UUCAAAUAAUACAUCAGCACUCAAGUUAUAACUAUUUAUUGAAAUACAAAUAUCACCCGUUAAUCCAAAUGUAAUUAUUCCGUCACAGGUGUCAUUGGGUGUUGAACGCAAAGGCCGCGUUUAUAAAUCCUGCGGUGGCUCACUAAUCAGCAGGAAUGAAAUCCUGACAGCUGCUCACUGUGUCACCGAAAAAGGAUCUACCAAACUAAAAUACCCGGAGAAUUGGAUCGUCCUACUGGGUGCGCACGAACUGAGCGGAAGUCGAAACGACGCCCAACUGUCCAUCAAAGUCG